UCCCGGGUCUUGUACACACCGCCCGUCACACCAUGGGAGCGGGUUCUGCCAGAAGUAGUUAGCCUAACCGCAAGGGGGGCGAUUACCACGGCAGGGUUCGUGACUGGGGUGAAGUCGUAACAAGGUAGCCGUACCGGAAGGUGCGGCUGGAUCACCUCCUU
rnacentral:rRNA from 1 species